AUUGAACGCUGGCGGCAGGCCUAACACAUGCAAGUCGAGCGAGCGGCGGACGGGUGAGUAAUGUCUGGGAAACUGCCUGAUGGAGGGGGAUACUACUGGAAACGGUAGCUAAUACCGCAUACCAUCCGAUGUUCCCAGAUGGGUUUGGCUAGUAGGUGGGGUAAUGGCUCACCUAGGCGACGAACCCUAGCUGGGCUUAGAGGAUGACCAGCAACACUGGAACUGAGACACGGUCCAGACUCCUACGGGAGGCAGCAGUGGGGAAUAUUGCACAAUGGGCGCAAGCCUGAUGCAGCCAUGCCGCGUGUAUGAAGAAGGUCUUCGGGUUGUAAAGUACUUUCAGCGAGGAGGCGUUACUAGCAGAAGAAGCACCGGCUAACUCCGUGCCAGCAGCCGCGGUAAUAC
rnacentral:rRNA from 1 species